CCUACGGGAGGCAGCAGUGAGGAAUAUUGGUCAAUGGGCGGAAGCCUGAACCAGCCAAGUCGCGUGAGGGAUGAAGGUACAAUGGAUCGUAAACCUCUUUUGUCAGGGAAUAAAGACCGGGACGUGUCCCGGUUUGAAUGUACCUGAAGAAUAAGGAUCGGCUAACUCCGUGCCAGCAGCCGCGGUAAUACGGAGGAUCCGAGCGUUAUCCGGAUUUAUUGGGUUUAAAGGGUGCGUAGGCGGCCUUUUAAGUCAGCGGUUAAAGUCUGUGGCUCAACCCUAGAAUUGCCGUUGAAACUGGGAGGCUUGAGUAUGUUUGAGGCAGGCGGAAUGCGUGGUGUAGCGGUGAAAUGCUUAGAUAUCACGCAGAACCCCGAUUGCGAAGGCAGCCUGCCAGGCCAUGACUGACGCUGAUGCACGAAAGCGUGGGGAUCAAACAGGAUUAGAUACCCGAGUAGUC
rnacentral:rRNA from 1 species